UACGGGGGGCAGCAGUGGGGAAUAUUGCGCAAUGGGGGAAACCCUGACGCAGCAACGCCGUGUGAGCGAUGAAGGCCUUCGGGUUGUAAAGCUCUGUUAAAUAAGAAGAAACUCCCAUAUUCUAAUACAAUAUGGGAUUGACGGUAUUAUUAGAGAAAGCACCGGCUAACUCCGUGCCAGCAGCCGCGGUAA
rnacentral:rRNA from 1 species